AUAUCAUCGUUUUAAUUGUAAUUAAUUGCACUAAAAUUAAUUACAAUUAAUUACCAGCGGUUUUCAAAGGAAAGAAUGUAAAAGUAAAUUCUUUUUUCUCUUAAAAAACAUCUACGUAAUUACCUUAAUCUCCUAAUAUUGAUCUUCUCCUGUGAGUGUCAUCGGUUUAAUCCUCUGAUUGGAAUCUCUUUGUUAUUAAAAAUGGAUCAUAAAUUAUUACGUUCAACUAAAUUAACCAUUGAUUUGGAGCCUUCAACCAGGACUAAUUGUUGGGAGACUUUUCUCUUGAUUGUCAACAGAAAAUUAAAUUAUCAUCUAAUAAUCACGUAAUUAUAUCAUCAGUUGGAUUAUAAUGAAGACGAAAGGGAAAGGGGUUAACACGCAGUGAAAAAGGUUGAACCUGUUGAUUAGUUACAAUUGUUUUCACAAUUAAGCCCGUUGAUUGGGAGGGAAAAUGAUAUAUAAGAGAAUCCAAAUCCUCUGUCAAUCAUCAGUUCCAAUCAACAUCAACUAACAACAACAACAACCAACAGUUUCAAAUUGUCUCCUUGUGAUUAUCCAUCAUCAACAAUCAAAAUGAACAGUAAAUUAAUUUGUGUUAUCCUUAUCGUCCUCUUAAGUGUUUCAAUUAACGUUGAAGCCGGUGGAAAAGGUGACAAUAUUGUCCUCCAAGGUAAAUGUGGAUCAACAAUCUUAUCCUCAGGCAAGAAAGGAAAAGGUGAAAAUAUCAUCAUCAAAGAUCAUUGUGGAUGCGAACACGAUUCAUGGGACUCAUGGGGCUGGGGAGGCUGGUAAUCCUCAGCUGAUUCCAAAUUAAAUUCUGUUGAUCAGUUUAAAUAACCAAUUUUUUACUCUCUCUCUCUCUCUCAAUUAUCCCUCCUUCUCCGUUUCCUCCAUGGAAUCCAUCUCAUAUAAUCAUGAUUUUUUAUAUUACAAUUCUCAAUUCUGAAUCUGUAACAUAUUAUAUUCCAAAUUAAACAAGUUAAAUUAAUUAA